rnacentral:tRNA from 1 species
GGAUUGUGGCUCAGCGGUAGAGCGCUCACCUGGCACAGGUGGGACCCGGGUUCGAUUCUCAGCACCA